UCGUACAGGUAGAUUGAUUUUAAAGUUCUACUUAGUAUUAAUUGAACCGUGAAUAUAAAAUGGCGACAUGAAAGAAUAGUAUGAUCAUGAUGGUGAAUUUUUGUUUUUUAGGUCCGGGUUGAGGUAUUCAACUUUUGGUGGCUAACAUUAACUGGUAAGUUGUGUAUAAUUUGUUCCAGUAGAUAUACCCAUUUUCGUUUAAAAAUAUUUCAAGUUAACCAAUAUCGAUUUGAAUUUGGUCGAUUAUCUAUUUAGCAACGGAAAAUCUCAUAAUAAAAUCAUAUGCAUUUUACACCAACAGAGCAUUCAUUGUCUAUCAUUUAAAUUUCAGACUAUUUUCUCUAUAUAACACGAUACUGUUUGAAUAGAAAGUGCCUGACCAAAAGGGUAGAGCUACAUUUUUUCGACCAGAUUGUUUUUGUUUGAACAAGAACACGAAAAUAAGUUGAAAAUAUAUUAUAUAGACACUGUGCCAUUUUAAAAUUUUUAAAUACCACAUGUUUGUUAUUUAAACAUUCAGCUUUUAUUCAAACAAUUUAAUUGUGUGUUACAUUUUGUAACAUGAUAAUAAUAAUAAU
rnacentral:lncRNA from 1 species